CAAUAGCGUAUAUUAAUGUUGUUGCAGUUAAAAAGCUCGUAGUUGGAUUUGUGGCGUACGGUGGGUUCCGGGCACUUGUUGUCUGAGUAACUUGCUGUUGCCAUCCUUGGGUGGAACCUGUGUGGCAUUAGGUUGUCGUGCAGGGGAUGCCCAUCAUUUACUGUGAAAAAAUUAGAGUGUUCAAAGCAGGCUUAUGCCGUUGAAUAUAUUAGCAUGGAAUAAUGAGAUAGGACUUUUUUGCUAUUUUGUUGGUUUGCGCAAAGAGGUAAUGAUUAAUAGGGACAGUUGGGGGUAUUCGUAUUCCAUUGUCAGAGGUGAAAUUCUUGGAUUUUUGGAAGACGAACUACUGCGAAAGCAUUUACCAAGGAUGUUUUCAUUAA
rnacentral:rRNA from 1 species